rnacentral:lncRNA from 1 species
GACGCCUUUCUUUACAGUGCUGUCUCACACACCCUAGAACUAGAAAAAUACAGCUAGUAGCAAAAAUACUUAAUACGCAACCUGUUCUUCAUUGUCUACAGUUAAACAGAGCUUGAUCCCCAUUUUAGCUGGGAGUCAGUGGCAGAACUCCUUUGGGUUUCAGUGGGAAUACGAUCAGACCUAAAGAUAUUAUGGACUGAGUCCAAGGAUCCUCUGAUGUGCAGAAGAAACACAUGGAUAGACCAGCAGAUCUUCGGACCACACACAGACCUGAGGAUAUGCACUUUAGUACUGUACCAGACUGCUGCC